rnacentral:rRNA from 1 species
UACAGAGGGUGCAAGCGUUGUUCGGAAUUAUUGGGCGUAAAGCGCGCGCAGGCGGUCUUCCAAGUCAGUGGUGAAAGCCCGGAGCUCAACUCCGGAACUGCCAUUGAAACUGUGAGACUUGAGGAUGAGAGAGGUGAGUGGAAUUCCCAGUGUAGAGGUGAAAUUCGUAGAUAUUGGGAAGAACACCGGUGGCGAAGGCGGCUCACUGGCUCAUUUCUGACGCUCAGGCGCGACAGCGUGGGGAUCAAACAGG